UACAGAGGUCCCGAGCGUUGUUCGGAUUCAUUGGGCGUAAAGCGCACGUAGGCGGUCCAGCCAGCGGGGAGUGAAAGCCCUCGGCUUAACCGAGGAAGUGCUUUCCGAACUACUGGACUUGAGUACUGAAGAGGGUCGCGGAAUUCCCGGUGUAGAGGUGAAAUUCGUAGAUAUCGGGAGGAACACCAGUGGCGAAGGCGGCGACCUGGGCAGAUACUGACGCUGAGGUGCGAAAGCGUGGGGAGCAAACAGG
rnacentral:rRNA from 1 species